rnacentral:rRNA from 1 species
UACGUAGGGUGCGAGCGUUGUCCGGAAUUACUGGGCGUAAAGAGCUCGUAGGUGGUUUGUCGCGUCGUCUGUGAAAUUCCGGGGCUUAACUUCGGGCGUGCAGGCGAUACGGGCAAUACUUGAGUGCUGUAGGGGAGACUGGAAUUCCUGGUGUAGCGGUGGAAUGCGCAGAUAUCAGGAGGAACACCGAUUGCGAAGGCAGGUCUCUGGGCCACUACUGACGCUGAGAAGCGAAAGCAUGGGGAGCGAACAGGAUUAGA